GAUGAACGCUGGCGGCGUGCCUAAUACAUGCAAGUCGAGCGAACAGACGAGGAGCUUGCUCCUCUGACGUUAGCGGCGGACGGGUGAGUAACACGUGGAUAACCUACCUAUAAGACUGGGAUAACUUCGGGAAACCGGAGCUAAUACCGGAUAAUAUAUUGAACCGCAUGGUUCAAUAGUGAAAGACGGUUUUGCUGUCACUUAUAGACGGAUCCGCCCCUCAUUAGCUAGUUGGUAAGGUAACGGCUUACCAAGGCUGCGAUGGUAAACCGACCUGAGGGGGUAGUCGGCCAGACUGGAUGAGAGACUCGGUCCAGACUCCGAGGGUGAGACACGGUAGAGACUCUUCCGCGAUGGGCGAGUGCCUAACAGAGCAACGCCGCGGAAGUGAUGAUGGAGUUCUGAUCGUAGAACUCUGUUAGUAGUAAAGAACAAAUGUGUAAGUAACUGUGCACAUCUUGACAGUACCGGGACAAAAAGCCACGGCUAACUACGUG
rnacentral:rRNA from 1 species